GAUGAACGCUGGCGGCGUGCCUAAUACAUGCAAGUCGAGCGAACGGACGAGAAGCUUGCUUCUCUGAUGUUAGCGGCGGACGGGUGAGUAACACGUGGAUAACCUACCUAUAAGACUGGGAUAACUUCGGGAAACCGGAGCUAAUACCGGAUAAUAUUUUGAACCGCAUGGUUCAAAAGUGAAAGACGGUCUUGCUGUCACUUAUAGAUGGAUCCGCGCUGCAUUAGCUAGUUGGUAAGGUAACGGCUUACCAAGGCAACGAUGCAUAGCCGACCUGAGAGGGGGAUCGGCCACACUGGAACUGAGACACGGUCCAGACUCCUACGGGAGGCAGCAGUAGGGAAUCUUCCGCAAUGGGCGCAAGCCUGACGGAGCAACGCCGCGUGAGUGAUGAAGGUCUUCGGAUCGUAAAACUCUGUUAUUAGGGAAGAACACAUGUGUAAGUAACUGUGCACAUCUUGACGGUACCUAAUCAGAAAGCCACGGCUAACUACGUG
rnacentral:rRNA from 1 species